AAAAGAAUGGGCUAAUGUGAAAUCUCUACCACAGGACUAUGGACCACAUCUAGUUGUUCAGAUUGUUUACAGUGAAAAAUUUCGGGAUGUGUAUGAUUAUUUUCGCACUGUUCUUCAGAGUGAUGAAAGAAGUGAAAGAGCUUUUAAACUUACAACAGAUGCUAUUGAACUAAAUGCUGCUAACAACACAGUAUGAUUAAUCAUCACGAAAUGGAAUACCUUGGAACUCUACAGAUUGUGUUCUUGCAACCAGACAGCUGAUAUGGCAAACCGGAGAGCUGAUAUUGAUAAAUAUCUCAAAAGCCACAAAUAAUAAAAAAUGAAAACCAAUUGCAAAUUGUCUUUCUCACUGUCUCACUUUGUACAUCAUACUAAAAGU